rnacentral:rRNA from 1 species
UACGUAGGGUGCAAGCGUUAAUCGGAAUUACUGGGCGUAAAGCGUGCGCAGGCGGCUUUGCAAGACAGAUGUGAAAUCCCCGGGCUUAACCUGGGAACUGCAUUUGUGACUGCAUGGCUGGAGUGCGGCAGAGGGGGAUGGAAUUCCGCGUGUAGCAGUGAAAUGCGUAGAUAUGGCGGAGGAACACCAAUGGCGAAGGCAAUCUCCUGGACCUGCACUGACGCUCAUGCACGAAAGCGUGGGGAGCAAACAGG